rnacentral:rRNA from 1 species
UACGAAGGGGGCUAGCGUUGUUCGGAAUUACUGGGCGUAAAGCGCACGUAGGCGGAUUGUUAAGUCGAGGGUGAAAUCCUGGAGCUCAACUCCAGAACUGCCUCCGAUACUGGCAAUCUUGAGUCCGGAAGAGGUGAGUGGAAUUCCUAGUGUAGAGGUGGAAUUCGUAGAUAUUAGGAAGAACACCAGUGGCGAAGGCGGCUCACUGGUCCGGUACUGACGCUGAGGUGCGAAAGCGUGGGGAGCAAACAGG